rnacentral:tRNA from 1 species
CGAGUAGUUCAGUUGGUUAGAAUGCCAGCCUGUCACGCUGGAGGUCGAGGGUUCGAACCCCUUCUC